GGGCACAAGCAUCAGGCCAUUUGCAUCCCUGGAACACACAAGAAUAGUUGUACUUGCGAGUGCUAAUACGAUGAGGGCGGAGCCCUCCGUAGCUGCUGCCCUUUGCGUCCUUCUGAUGGUCACGUCUUGCACCCUGACGACACCCACCUGGGCAAAAGGUAUAUAUAUACACACAUAAACACGAAUGAAGGUACUCUAAUUAUUUACUUUAUCAUAUAUAAUAAUGAGAGUAAAUUCUUCCGCUGUUCAGUUGAGGUUAAUUAACAUGCAUGUACGUCUGCUGAUCCAUUGAGUUUUAUUUUGGUUGUACAGAGGAUUGCUUUCGGAUGCCAGGAUGCAUGGAAUUCCCGUGCGAGCAAAAAUGCGAAGACGAAUUCCACUUCAGGGUCACCGAUUCCAGGUGCAGGAUUCGUGGGAACGUCGAGCUUUGCUGCUGCACCCACAAUUACGU
rnacentral:lncRNA from 1 species